GGGUUGUGAGGUUAAGCGACUAAGCGUACACGGUGGAUGCCCUGGCAGUCAGAGGCGAUGAAGGACGUGCUAAUCUGCGAUAAGCGUCGGUGACGACACACUAUCAUUAACUGAAUCCAUAGGUUAAUGAGGCGAACCGGGGGAACUGAAACAUCUAAGUACCCCGAGGAAAAGAAAUCAACCGAGAUUCCCCCAGUAGCGGCGAGCGAACGGGGAGGAGCCCAGAGCCUGAAUCAGUGUGUGUGUUAGUGGAAGCGUCUGGAAAGGCGCGCGAUACAGGGUGACAGCCCCGUACACAAAAAUGCACAUAUUGUGAGCUCGAUGAGUAGGGCGGGACACGUGGUAUCCUGUCUGAAUAUGGGGGGACCAUCCUCCAAGGCUAAAUACUCCUGACUGACCGAUAGUGAACCAGUACCGUGAGGGAAAGGCGAAAAGAACCCCGGCGAGGGGAGUGAAAAAGAACCUGAAACCGUGUACGUACAAGCAGUGGGAGCCUCUUAAUGGGGUGACUGCGUACCUUUUGUAUAAUGGGUCAGCGACUUAUAUUCUGUAGCAAGGUUAACCGAAUAGGGGAGCCGAAGGGAAACCGAGUCUUAACUGGGCGUUAAGUUGCAGGGUAUAGACCCGAAACCCGGUGAUCUAGCCAUGGGCAGGUUGAAGGUUGGGUAACACUAACUGGAGGACCGAACCGACUAAUGUUGAAAAAUUAGCGGAUGACUUGUGGCUGGGGGUGAAAGGCCAAUCAAACCGGGAGAUAGCUGGUUCUCCCCGAAAGCUAUUUAGGUAGCGCCUCGUGAAUUCAUCUCCGGGGGUAGAGCACUGUUUCGGCAAGGGGGUCAUCCCGACUUACCAACCCGAUGCAAACUGCGAAUACCGGAGAAUGUUAUCACGGGAGACACACGGCGGGUGCUAACGUCCGUCGUGAAGAGGGAAACAACCCAGACCGCCAGCUAAGGUCCCAAAGUCAUGGUUAAGUGGGAAACGAUGUGGGAAGGCCCAGACAGCCAGGAUGUUGGCUUAGAAGCAGCCAUCAUUUAAAGAAAGCGUAAUAGCUCACUGGUCGAGUCGGCCUGCGCGGAAGAUGUAACGGGGCUAAACCAUGCACCGAAGCUGCGGCAGCGACACUAUGUGUUGUUGGGUAGGGGAGCGUUCUGUAAGCCUGUGAAGGUGKMCUGUGAGGKWUGCUGGAGGUAUCAGAAGUGCGAAUGCUGACAUAAGUAACGAUAAAGCGGGUGAAAAGCCCGCUCGCCGGAAGACCAAGGGUUCCUGUCCAACGUUAAUCGGGGCAGGGUGAGUCGACCCCUAAGGCGAGGCCGAAAGGCGUAGUCGAUGGGAAACAGGUUAAUAUUCCUGUACUUGGUGUUACUGCGAAGGGGGGACGGAGAAGGCUAUGUUGGCCGGGCGACGGUUGUCCCGGUUUAAGCGUGUAGGCUGGUUUUCCAGGCAAAUCCGGAAAAUCAAGGCUGAGGCGUGAUGACGAGGCACUACGGUGCUGAAGCGACAAAUGCCCUGCUUCCAGGAAAAGCCUCUAAGCAUCAGGUAACAUCAAAUCGUACCCCAAACCGACACAGGUGGUCAGGUAGAGAAUACCAAGGCGCUUGAGAGAACUCGGGUGAAGGAACUAGGCAAAAUGGUGCCGUAACUUCGGGAGAAGGCACGCUGAUAUGUAGGUGAAGCGACUUGCUCGUGGAGCUGAAAUCAGUCGAAGAUACCAGCUGGCUGCAACUGUUUAUUAAAAACACAGCACUGUGCAAACACGAAAGUGGACGUAUACGGUGUGACGCCUGCCCGGUGCCGGAAGGUUAAUUGAUGGGGUUAGCGGUAACGCGAAGCUCUUGAUCGAAGCCCCGGUAAACGGCGGCCGUAACUAUAACGGUCCUAAGGUAGCGAAAUUCCUUGUCGGGUAAGUUCCGACCUGCACGAAUGGCGUAAUGAUGGCCAGGCUGUCUCCACCCGAGACUCAGUGAAAUUGAACUCGCUGUGAAGAUGCAGUGUACCCGCGGCAAGACGGAAAGACCCCGUGAACCUUUACUAUAGCUUGACACUGAACAUUGAGCCUUGAUGUGUAGGAUAGGUGGGAGGCUUUGAAGUGUGGACGCCAGUCUGCAUGGAGCCGACCUUGAAAUACCACCCUUUAAUGUUUGAUGUUCUAACGUGGGCCCCUUACCGGGGUUGCGGACAGUGUCUGGUGGGUAGUUUGACUGGGGCGGUCUCCUCCUAAAGAGUAACGGAGGAGCACGAAGGUUGGCUAAUCCUGGUCGGACAUCAGGAGGUUAGUGCAAUGGCAUAAGCCAGCUUGACUGCGAGCGUGACGGCGCGAGCAGGUGCGAAAGCAGGUCAUAGUGAUCCGGUGGUUCUGAAUGGAAGGGCCAUCGCUCAACGGAUAAAAGGUACUCCGGGGAUAACAGGCUGAUACCGCCCAAGAGUUCAUAUCGACGGCGGUGUUUGGCACCUCGAUGUCGGCUCAUCACAUCCUGGGGCUGAAGUAGGUCCCAAGGGUAUGGCUGUUCGCCAUUUAAAGUGGUACGCGAGCUGGGUUUAGAACGUCGUGAGACAGUUCGGUCCCUAUCUGCCGUGGGCGCUGGAGAACUGAGGGGGGCUGCUCCUAGUACGAGAGGACCGGAGUGGACGCAUCACUGGUGUUCGGGUUGUCAUGCCAAUGGCACUGCCCGGUAGCUAAAUGCGGAAGAGAUAAGUGCUGAAAGCAUCUAAGCACGAAACUUGCCCCGAGAUGAGUUCUCCCUGACUCCUUGAGAGUCCUGAAGGAACGUUGAAGACGACGACGUUGAUAGGCCGGGUGUGUAAGCGCAGCGAUGCGUUGAGCUAACCGGUACUAAUGAACCGUGAGGCUUAACCUUACAACGCCGAAG
rnacentral:rRNA from 1 species